ACGGCAGCACGGGAGCAAUCCUGGUGGCGAGUGGCGAACGGGUGAGUAAUAUAUCGGAACGCUGCCCAGUCGUGGGGGAUAACGCAGCGAAAGCUGUGCUAAUACCGCAUACGAUCUACGGAUGAAAGCGGGGGAUCGCAAGACCUCGCGCGAUUGGAGCGGCCGAUAUCAGAUUAGCUAGUUGGUGGGGUAAAGGCCCACCAAGGCGACGAUCUGUAGCUGGUCUGAGAGGACGACCAGCCACACUGGAACUGAGACACGGUCCAGACUCCUACGGGAGGCAGCAGUGGGGAAUUUUGGACAAUGGGCGCAAGCCUGAUCCAGCAAUGCCGCGUGCAGGAUGAAGGCCUUCGGGUUGUAAACUGCUUUUGUACGGAACGAAACGGUGAGCUCUAAUAAAGUUUGCUAAUGACGGUACCGUAAGAAUAAGCACCGGCUAACUACGUGCCAGCAGCCGCGGUAAUACGUAGGGUGCGAGCGUUAAUCGGAAUUACUGGGCGUAAAGCGUGCGCAGGCGGUUAUAUAAGACAGAUGUGAAAUCCCCGGGCUCAACCUGGGACCUGCAUUUGUGACUGUAUAGCUAGAGUACGGUAGAGGGGGAUGGAAUUCCGCGUGUAGCAGUGAAAUGCGUAGAUAUGCGGAGGAACACCGAUGGCGAAGGCAAUCCCCUGGACCUGUACUGACGCUCAUGCACGAAAGCGUGGGGAGCAAACAGGAUUAGAUACCCUGGUAGUCCACGCCCUAAACGAUGUCAACUGGUUGUNGGGUCUCNCUGACUCAUAACGAAGCUAACGCGUGAANUUGACCGCCUGGGANUACGNCCCCAGGUUGAACUCAAAGA
rnacentral:rRNA from 1 species